rnacentral:lncRNA from 11 species
CCUCCCCUAAAAGCAGAUAGGUUUAUUUAAGUGAAACUGUUUUUUAAUGCAGAAGACCACAAAAAUUCUGCUUCCAAACAGCAGAAAGCUUACAUUUCAGCACACCGCAAAUGCUUUCUUUGAACCAGUUGGUUGGUUUGUUAUUAAAUGAUAAGCCCAUUUUAUGAUCCAAUGAAAUCCAUUUCCACUGGGAUAAAUACUCAGAGCAACUGACAUACAACACACCUUGAAAGUGGAAGCUACUGCCGGGUGUCAAUUCCUCCUGUGUGUGGCAAGGACACUGGAGGCCCAUGCCCUGCAGAAAUUAUCCAGAUCCCAGGAAUCGUGUCCUCAGCCCUGGAGACACAGAGAGAACAAAUCUCAAAUGGAUAUGAACCAGAAGAAAGAAAAUCGUCACUGAAAUUCAAGCUUGGAAAUAGUUUGCAUGGCAGAAUCCAGCAAUCUACCCUCAAAAGUCCAACCCUUGGAAAAAGUUUUCUGAAGUGUAUAUGCCUUUUUAAAAGCAGACACACAAAGGAACAAGAUCACAUAGCCCUCUUGGCAAACAGAAAUAGCUGCUGUCACAUACUUGAUAGACAUGGCUCAAGGACAGCUGAAAUAAGCAGGCAUAGUCAUUCUAUACUACCAUGGAAUGAAAGCCUUCUCAUAGUUUCAGUUUGCCAUUCCAUUGUAUUACUACUCUGCCAUAGCAAAUACUUUCCUUAUUGAAGCACAUGCUGUAAGAAGAGAACACCAACAGCCUCAUUUACAUUUCCAUAAGCAACUGCUUAAUCAAUUUGCAUUGGUAAUCAGGGAUUUAGAGGCAGAUUUGCCAGAUAAGUUUAAUGGAAACUGCACACAGACAAUGUCACCCAAUAAAAAAUAAAUACAUAUAUGAAAUUAGCAGUCCUCUCAUACCUUUGCACAAGAAGGCAAAUGUUUCAACAAAAGUAAGUGGACUUCGUUCCAAGCACUUCUGUUUAGAGUGCUGUAUAAAAUAUUGUAAUGUGCUAUACAAGAAAUAAAUCUUAAAAUGCUCAAUACAUGGCACUUCUGUAAUAGAGAAAGCACAAAUGGCUUUCAGCCUAUAUAUGUUUUUUAUCAAUUUAUUCCAGUGACAUAUUAAAAACAUAAAAAUUAAAG